ACACUAGUUUUCUCAUACAAUAUGAAACCCUAAAAUUAAUUUUGCCACCACUUUCUCCCUUUCUUAUACAGUCCGAAGUCCUAAUAUUUGUUCCCAUCCUUCUCCGUCUUUUUCCCCCAUUUCUGGAAUAAACUGAGUGGAAUUUGUGAUUACUGUCUGAUUACUGUCUCAAACCUCAGGAAAACUCCCAAACCCGUGUUGCAUUGGCGAGAGCCUUAACAGGUCUCAAAUUCAGUCGUUCGAAAUAAAGUUCGUCGUGAAACACGAAUCUUCAACUGGAAAUUUGAGAAGCUCAAACCCGCUGCUGAGGAGGUCGAGCACGUGGUGGCGCUGAUGCUUCUCCCGUGAAGGUCAAAGACAGUGUGAUUGUCCUAAAGGCUUAGCCCCAAGUUUCAAUAUUUUGCAAGUGGUUCUUACUUCAAUUAAGGAUUGAAGUUUAAAUGGGAAAGCAAGUCACCCGCAACAUUAAUGUCUCAAUCCGGGGAUUAUUUUGCAAGUGGUUCUUACUUCAAUUACCUUGUUCCCAUCCUUCUCCGUCUUUUUCCCCAUUUCUGGAAUAAACUGAGUGGAAUUUGUUGUCUCAAACCUCAGGAAAACUCCCAAACCCGUGUUGCAUUGGCGAGAGCCUUAAAUUCAGUAGUUCGAAAUAAAGUUCGUGCGUGAAACACGAAUCUUCAACUGGAAAUUUGAGAAGCUCAAAAGGAUUGCAGCGUCCAUGGCAUAUUUUAAAAGCCGUUAGAUUAAGCAAGAGCUUGGUAAUCAUUCUUCUUGCUCUUCUUCCCUCAGAUUUCGUCAUUUUUUUUUAUCUUGAAUCAAUUGUAUUUUGAC